GGGUGCGAUCAUACCAUCACUGAUGCACCAGAUCCCAUUAGAACUCCGCAAUCAAGCAUGCUUGGGUGAGGGUCAUUCUAAGAUGGGCUUUGUUAUAGGACUUUCUCAGACACAGGCA
rnacentral:rRNA from 1 species